GAUCCUGGCUCAGGACGAACGCUGGCGGCGCGCCUAACACAUGCAAGUCGAACGGAGAUUACAGGCGGAAGUUUUCGGAUGGAAGCUUGUAAACUUAGUGGCGGACGGGUGAGUAACACGUGAGCAACCUGCCUAUCAGAGGGGGAUAACGAUUGGGAAACGAUCGCUAAAUACCGCAUGACAUAGCGGAACCGCAUGGUUCUGUUAUCAAAGAUUUUAUCGACUGAUAGAUGGGCUCGCGUCCGA
rnacentral:rRNA from 1 species